rnacentral:rRNA from 1 species
AUUGAACGCUGGCGGCAGGCCUAACACAUGCAAGUCGAGCGGAGCGGCGGACGGGUGAGUAAUGCCUAGGAACCUGCCUGGUAGUGGGGUAAAACGUGCGGAAACGGGCGCUAGUACCGCAUAAUAUCAGAUGAGCCUAGGUCGGAUUAGCUAGUUGGAGGGGUAAAGGCCUACCAAGGCGACGAUCCGUAACUGGUCUGAGAGGAUGAUCAGUCACCCUGGAACUGAGACACGGUCCAGACUCCUACGGGAGGCAGCAGUGGGGAAUAUUGGACAAUGGGCUAAAGCCUGAUCCAGCCAUGCCGCGUGUGUGAAGAAGGUCUUCGGAUUUUAAAGCACUUUAAGUUGGGAGGCGUUACCAACAGAAUAAGCACCGGCUAACUUCGUGCCAGCAGCCGCGGUAAUAC